GGCUGGGACGGGCUGAGAGGGCUUGGGAGGGGUUUUAAAGUGCUAGGAAGGACUGGGAGAGACUGAGAAGGACUGGGAGAGGCCAAGAAGGAUGAGGAAGGACUGGGAAGUGACUGGGAAGGGGCUGGAAUGGAAGUGACUGGGAAGAGCUGGGAAGAGCUGGAAGAGGCUGGGAACAACUGGGAACAACUGAGAAAGGCUGGGAGGGACUGAGUGGCUGGUCCUGGCAAGCCUUUGUUUUAGGACAUCUCAACAAGUGAACAGUAUAAAAGGGAAUGUUAAAAAGGGAAGGAUAGUUUAAAAAUUGUCUUAUGGAUUAAUUUGUAUACUGUACCUCUUGGUUUUUGCAUUUUGUGUUCUAUUUAUGUUUGCAAUUAAUGUGUUUAUGGGUCACAGUGGCUACAUUGGACCAAUCUUCAUAAACACUCAAUAUUCAAGACAGUAAUAUUAUACAGUAAAGAUUAAGUAUAUUUUUGUUUGGGUCAGCUUUCAUUAAACAGUAAGACAUAAACACAGUAGAGAAUUGAUAGUCUGUAAAGGAACACUGUGCAGAUUAGUACAGAUCAGGUGGUGCCAGCAAGUAAGCUUAGAAACUUUAUGUCCUGGUUAUCAAGGAGGACAGCAGAAAUAAGGUUAGUAUUCUCAACACUUCUGUGCUUCACCUCCAUUAUUUCAAAAGGCUUUAUCUAAAUUUCCACAAAGUAUUUAGUGUGUUUUUAUUUUUCUAGAGGCAGAGUGACAAGAUUUCUACACUAUUAACUGGAGACACACUUGAAAACUCUGCUAAUUAUUUCUGUGACCUUAGAAAAUAGUCAUGGUGAGAGAGCAGAGCAUUUUUAAGGAAGUUUUAUGGUUCUAGAGGCAGAGUGACAAGAUUUCUACAUUAUUAACUGGAGAAACGCUCUUGAAAACCCCGCUAGUCAUUUCUGUGGCCUUAGAAAAAAGUUGAGGUGAAAGAACAAAGCGUUUCAGAAUACCGACCUCAGUAGUAAACAUACACACUUCAUGCUAGCACCCAACACUCACACCCAGGUCAGAGGAGGGUAUAACGUGACCUAACAUGCACGACACCAGGCAAAACAGGUCAGGUCAGCGGAAAAUAAAGAAGACGAGAUAAAACAUGACCACGUCCCUCUUAGAAUGGAAAUAAAGGAAUGGGAAAAAAAAAGAAAAGGGACAAGCUAGAUUGUAAGAAGAUUGAAAAAAAGAUAUUUGGUAACUGAAAAAAGAUUAAGGUUAGACGAAGCACAUUAGGUUGAAUAAAACUUGGAAAAGAAGACAAAAGUGAAAGACAAAGAUUGAAAAAAAGACUUGCUACAUUAAAGAAAGGUUGAAAGAAACUUGUUAGAUGUAAUGAAGGUUGGAAGAGACAUCAGGAUACAGAAAGAUUGAAAAAGACAUGAGAAGCUUGAAAAAGGUAUAUUGAGGAAGACAGUGAAAAAGAAUGAUGAAAAAAAUUAUAACAUGAGAAAAGUUGAAAAGAACUUACAUGUAAUGAAAUUUGGAAGACACACAUCAGGUUAUAGAAAGAUUGAAAAAGACAUGGGAAGCUUGAAAAGGCAUACUAAAAAGACAUACAAAGUGAAAAAGAAUGAUGAAAGGACUUACUACAUUAAAGAAAGGCUGAAAGAAACUUGUUAGAUGUAACGAAGGUUAAAACACACAUCAGGUUAUAGAAAAAUUGAAAAAGACAUGGGAAACUUGAAAAAGGCAGAUUGAAAAGACAUACAGAGUGAAAAAGAAUGAUGAAAGAACUUACAUUAAAGAAAGCUUGAAAGAAACCAGUUAGAUGUAAUGAAGGUUGGAAAAGACACAUCAGAUUAUAGAAAGAUUGAAAAAGACAUGGGAAGCUUGAAAAAGGCACAUUUAAAAGACAUACACGGUGAAAAAUAAGAUUGAAAAGACUUGCUACGUAAAAGAAAGACUGAAAAGAACUUAGACGUAAUGAAGGUUAACACACAUCAGGUUAUAGAAAGAUUGAAAAGACUUGGGAAGGUUGAAAAAGGCAUAUUAAAAAGACAUUGAAAAAGGCAUAUUAAAAAGACAUACACGGUCAAAAAAGGCUGAAAAGACUUGCUAAAUUAAUGAAAGGCUGAAAGAACAUAGAUGUAACAAAGGUUGCAAAACACACUCCAGGUUAUAGCAAGACUGAAGAAGACAUGGGAAGGUUGAAAAAGGGUAUUAAAUUACAGAAAGGUUACAGAGUGUUUACAAAUA